GUUGUGGCGAGGGAGGGCCGGGGCUGGAAGGAGCGUCAUGGGACCAGCCAGUAAAAUUCCACUACUCUCCGAGGCCGAUUGGGAGGCAAUUUAAAAACCCUGGGCUUUUUCCAGCCCCAGUGUUGUGGAUGACUCUGUGUCCCCUCAGGUAUGUCGAUCUGUAUGGGAAAUCAGGAAGAAUGAUUAUUAAUAACUGGAAAAAAAAACCCCUAUUAUUAUCUUUCCAUGCCCAAUGCCAUGCUGAACCCGCCCUGCCUGCUUCUGCAAGCCAGCGAGGCUGCUGGAUUUUCUGGAAGGGUAUUGGGUUGCUAAGCAACAGCGCUGGCAGCACCCAUCAUGCCCAGCAAUGUCAGCGCCUGAGUGUGGCCUGCAGAGCACACUUGCUCCCCUCCCCCUCGCCUCUCUCGACCUCCUCCCCCAUGAGAACGUUCAUUUGCAUCUCAGGGACAGGAGCUGUGCCAGGUGAUUCUGUGUAUAAAACAGCGCAGCGCAGCCCCUGAAGCGCAGAUAUUGUUUGGGGUUGCAAGGCAGUGCCUGUGAUGCGGUUGAAAACAGACUCAUUUGUGUUCACUCCCCACGUAAGGAGUGUCGGCUUCACUUAAAAGCCGGUGCAUCAAACACUCCUUUCUAAUACGUCCCGGUGUGCUCCGCCUUUAAGUGUUUUCUUCCUGUCUGCCCGUCCAGCAUCUCAUUUAUGCCCCAUUUUGUCCCUCUCUCUCCUUCCCUUUGUUCUGUGGUCUCCUGGGUGACGGAGUUAGUGUUUGUGUGUAGGGACGUGUGGAGAAGAGGGAGGCGGGUUUUAGAGGUGAGAGGGCCCUGUGGCUAACGGUGGGAGGCCGCUGUUGACAAGGCCUGUGCUGUGGCAGUUUUGCUGCGGAAGUGGCCAUUCUUCUGGGCAGGACUCCACCCGAGCACCAUCUAUCGGUCCCUUUCACUUCCUGUGAAGAGGCAGCGGGCUUCGCGAGCUGGGGAAGUCCCAGGGGCGGCCUUCGGGGUUGACAGACCUGGACCCAAACCCUUUCUCUUCCCCUAACCCGCUUUGGCAUCUUGGCAAGUGACUGUCCCCAUUUCUGAAAAGGAUGUUCACAGUGGACUGGAGAUCCUGGGGGUCCUUUCCUUUGUGGAGGUUAUCAAUAUCAGAAUGGAGUCACUUAUGUCAAACCCUAACAAAAUGAAGGCGAAGGCCAUGAAGAACAAGGCUACGUGCAUAUAUGCCUGCAACAGGACUUGUCACAAGGAAUCCCUGCACAUAUGACAGGGACUAUGCCAGGAACUCCUCAAAUAUACAGGAUUUGAGAUAGACUGGGAACUCCAUGAGGUCCGAGACAACCUGAAGACUCCCACCUCACCAAAAACUGGCUACAGCAAUCACUUAGUAACUAUCUGUUGAAUUGGACCUAAUAGAAUAGCUGCAGAAUUUUAAACAAGUCACCAUCAGUGGAUUCCUCAAAGCAAACCCGGAAAUCUCGACAUGAGUCUGAUUUGAGGCAGUACAUUUUCAGCUCCUCAAAAUGUGAACAGUUUCCCAAGAGAACAACUUGAAACAGAAAGGGGAGGAUGUAGAUGCGAUUGUAGAAGAUGAUGUCUAAGGCCACCAAUUGUCCACUGUGAAGAUAAACCAUGCAUGGUUAGUUGCUGGUGACUCCCCUUCCUGUGGGGAGUCCCACUGCUUCCCUGGCCUGGGAGUUCUCUGCCAGUAGAUGUUAUUGACAAAAUAAGCAAAGUCCCCUGAUUCAGAGAAUGAGAGUUUCUGAUAGCUCUAGAUUGCCUCUGCCAUGCUAUUUACACUCCUGCUUUAUUGUCCAAUACGAGUUCAACAUCUAUGAGGAUUUGUCCAGUGCAAGUCCUGAAAGAUAUCACCAGCACACCUUGUCACUGUGCUGUCGUGAUCUAGGCAGUACAAUAAUGUUGGCAGGACCCUGUUUAGGUGGAGGAUGGCUACCUGGGCAUCAAGAAUCUUCUACUUUGAUUCCACAUUGAUUCCUCAAAGUGGGCUUCAGACAACUCUUCACUACAUCUUCCAAUUAAAGCAGUUGAUGGGCAUCCUAGCUAGAGAAAAGUCCUGGGAGCA